rnacentral:rRNA from 1 species
CCUACGGGAGGCAGCAGUGAGGAAUAUUGGUCAAUGGGCGGGAGCCUGAACCAGCCAAGCCGCGUGAGGGAAGAAGGUACAGCGUAUCGUAAACCUCUUUUGUCAGGGAACAAAGGCGGGGACUAGUCCCCGGAUGAGGGUACCUGAAGAAAAAGCAUCGGCUAACUCCGUGCCAGCAGCCGCGGUAAUACGGAGGAUGCGAGCGUUAUCCGGAUUUAUGGGGUUAAAAGGGUGCGCAGGCGGUCUGUUAAGUCAGCGGUAAAAGCCCGGGGCUCAACCGCGGCCCGCCGUUGAAACUGGCAGUCUCGAGUUGGUGAGAGGUAUGCGGAAUGCGCGGUGUAGCGGUGAAAUGCAUAGAUAUCGCGCAGAACUCCGAUUGCGAAGGCAGCAUGCCGGCUCCACACUGACGCUGAGGCACGAAAGCGUGGGUAUCGAACAGGAUUAGAUACCCUAGUAGUC